rnacentral:tRNA from 2 species
GUACCCGUAGCUCAAUUGGACAGAGCAUCUGACUACGGAUCAGAAGGUUGCAGGUUCGAGUCCUGCCGGGUACGCCA